rnacentral:rRNA from 1 species
GAGUAGCAAUACUUGGUGGCGACCGGCGCACGGGUGAGUAACGCGUAUGCAACCUACCUUUAACAGGGGGAUAGCCCGGAGAAAUUCGGAUUAAUACCCCAUACUACUAUGAAUAAGCAUUUAUAUAUAUUAAAAACUCCGGUGGUUAAAGAUGGGCAUGCGUAACAUUAGAUAGUUGGUGAGGUAACGGCUCACCAAGUCGACGAUGUUUAGGGGGCCUGAGAGGGUAGCCCCCCACACUGGUACUGAGACACGGACCAGACUCCUACGGGAGGCAGCAGUGAGGAAUAUUGCGCAAUGGAGGAAACUCUGACGCAGCCAUGCCGCGUGCAGGAUGACGGCCCUACGGGUUGUAAACUGCUUUUAUACAGGAAGAAUCCCACGCUCGUGAGCGUGGUUGACGGUACUGUAGGAAUAAGCAUCGGCUAACUCCGUGCCAGCAGCCGCGGUAAUACGGAGGAUGCAAGCGUUAUCCGGAUUUAUUGGGUUUAAAGGGUGCGUAGGCGGGAUAAUAAGUCAGUGGUGAAAACCUGCAGCUUAACUGUAGAACUGCCAUUGAUACUGUUAUUCUUGAGUUCGGUUGAAGUAGGCGGAAUGUGUAAUGUAGCGGUGAAAUGCUUAGAUAUUACACAGAACACCGAUUGCGUAGGCAGCUUACUAAGCCGACACUGACGCUGAGGCACGAAAGCGUGGGGAGCGAACAGGAUUAGAUACCCUGGUAGUCCACGCUGUAAACUAUGAUCACUAGCUGUUGGC